CCUACGGGUGGCAGCAGUGGGGAAUAUUGGACAAUGGGGGAAACCCUGAUGCAGCAACGCCGCGUGAGUGAAGAAGUAUUUCGGUAUGUAAAGCUCCAUCAGUAGGGAAGUAGAUGACGGUACCUGAGUAAGAAGCCCCGUCUAACUACGUGCCAGCACCCGCGGCAAUACGCAGGGGGCAAGCGUUAUCCGGAUGUACUGGGUGUAAAGGGAGCGUAGUCGGUGUGAAAAGUCUGAAGUGAAAGCCCGGGGCUCAACCCCGGGACUGCUGUGGAAACUGCCUGACUGGAGUGCUGGAGAGGCAAGCGGAAUGCGUAGUGUAGCGGUGAAAUGCGUAGAUAUUAGGAAGAACCCCAGUGGCGAAGGCAGCUUGCUGGACAGUAACUGACGUUGAGGCUCGAAAGCGUGGGGAGCAAACAGGAUUAGAUACCCGAGUAGUC
rnacentral:rRNA from 1 species